UGGGGCGUCGUCAAGCGGAAAGACACCAGGUUUUGGUCCUGGCAUUCGGGGGUUCGAAUCCUCCCGCCCCAGCCA
rnacentral:tRNA from 1 species